rnacentral:rRNA from 1 species
UACGAAGGGGGCUAGCGUUGCUCGGAAUCACUGGGCGUAAAGGGUGCGUAGGCGGGUCUUUAAGUCAGAGGUGAAAUCCUGGAGCUCAACUCCAGAACUGCCUUUGAUACUGAGAAGCUUGAGUCCGGGAGAGGUGAGUGGAACUGCGAGUGUAGAGGUGAAAUUCGUAGAUAUUCGCAAGAACACCAGUGGCGAAGGCGGCUCACUGGCCCGGUACUGACGCUGAGGUGCGAAGGCGUGGGGAGCAAACAGG